UGCGUAGGCGGCCUGACAAGUCAGAGGUGAAAGGCUACGGCUUAACCGUAGUAAGCCUUUGAAACUGACAGGCUUGAGUGCAGGAGAGGAAAGUGGAAUUCCUAGUGUAGCGGUGAAAUGCGUAGAUAUUAGGAGGAACGCCAGUGGCGAAGGCGACUUUCUGGACUGUAACUGACGCUGAGGCACGAAAGCGUGGGGAGCGAACAGGAUUAGAUACCCUGGUAGUCC
rnacentral:rRNA from 1 species